UUCAUUUCAUUCUGUAUUUUCUUUUUGUCGGUUUCGCGCCAUUUCUUUACGUUUACCUACUCGUGAGCUUGCAGCUACGGCCUGGUGAUCGUUUACCAAAGGUAUUAAUCCGACUGAACUUGUUAGGACAUUCGUUAAACGUUCCUGUGUCUACGUGGCAAAAUGACCAACGACCAUACCAGCGGUUGCCACGCCGAAAACACACGUUUCGCUCAGGACGACACGGAGGUAUUUUUAUUAUUCGUAUAACGGCAAAAUAAUAAUGAAUUGAUGAUGUUCGAGCCGGCAGCUAGGUCGGUGCACCGCUCAGGAUGGCAACUAAGUGAGUGCCGGUGGUUCUUCAAACGUUCAAAGACCUUUGAACGCUGACUAGGUACUUUUAAUAGCUUUGAUUAUUUCAUUUCAGACAAAUUCUCUAGACUUGCCAUUAAUUCGCUACAAGCUUCUGCCACGGUGCCAUUUCCCAUCGGAUGUGACACGAUCGAUCGUCAUCUUCGUAUCGCAAACGUUGCGUAAUCGUUGAACACCCCUCUCGAACAAGGAAGCACACGUGAAAUUCAUAGUUAGAAUUCUCUCUAAUGCUUCUUAUCAAAUCUUUCUGAUAAGACUGUUAUUAAACAGAAAUCUUCCGUCCUAUGCACUCGCCACGAACUUUCAUCUGUGCAGGAAUUUUGGCCGAUUUUUCUCUGUUUUUCUUUCUCUCUUCUUUUUUAGUUUCCUAUUGUUUGUUGUUUUCGGAACACUUGAUUUGCCUAUACUCAGAACGGACCAUACUAUCCCAGGUAUUGAUCCUCCGCGCAUAGUUUCCUCUCGUUCAUUUGCUAGUAUGCGCUACGUGCUCAUGCAGGCGGAGUAUUUCCAAGACUCGUGUGGUUUUCCAAGGCACGACGCGCCGGAAAUUCGUCUGAUGGUCUUUUUCAAGAGCCACGGUUUUCGUAUUCCGUUCGCGAUGGCUUUACAGAGCAUUGUUGAUGAAAGAGACUUCUUGUUUAGAGAAUGCUCGAGAGGAGUUUCCAUUAAAGCGUAUCUAGUUCGAGAAACAUUUCCUGCGCACGAUUCUGUCACUCGACCCAAGUACUCCUUUUCUGUUACUGUCGUUACAUCUCUGCACCGUUCGACGAUGAUUCUUUUCUUCUUUUGCCUCCCACUCCGCGUCUCUUUCUAAUUCCGCCAGUUCAAAGACGGUACGAGCAUCAUUUACGAAGCUGUUGAUAAUCUCUUCGAGCUUCUCUCGUCUGCAGAGAGCCGGCGACUUUUUUGAUGUUAGAAACGAUCCCUCUUGCUUUAUGCAAGUCGAAGUGGAGUACGCGUAAUUAAAAGCUAAACGAAGGAAUAGAAAACAAUUGCUUUUAGUCGAUCCUAGUUGAACGAUAUGAAAAUAUCAGGCGAUUAAACACGAUGAUUAAAAACGCGCCUUUCUGUACAAGAUAUUUUAGCAAGAGCUGUAUUCUCGUAUAAUCUAGAAUUCAUUAAGGUAAAACAAUAGAUUCCACGAACGUCGAAGAUCAACUAUUAUAUGUACAAACAUUGACAACGAAAUUUGCCCGCAGAACAACGUCGAGGAUCGCGCGCGAUGAAGAACAGUCGAUGAAAAUCGCAAGCAGCCUCCGGUGACGUUCCCGCUAUACGCACCACCGCAUUAAUAUUUAUUGCUAGCCAGGUAGAAUUCGCUGUGGAAUCGUCUACCUUCCUUUACGCUGUUCGCAAUCGAAGCAAAUCGAGUUCAUCGAGCUUUGAAACCAUUAACGUGAAUAAAUGAGAAAAAGUGGGAAAAGAAGCUAACGAAACAGAAUGAAAAAGAAGAAAAUAAAUGGAAAAAUGGGAAAAGAAGAUGGAGGCACGCAUGGAAACUCGUUAUGGAAAUACUUGGCCCGUGGGCGUCCUCUUCAUCUGCAUAUCCCUCAACUUGAUGCGGCGAGAGCUCCGCCAAUCCCCACUGCCACUGGUUAAGUUGACCGUCACGAAAAUAGCACUCCCCCGUUCGACGAGAUCGUUGAUGCGACUUCUUUUCAGUACGCCGCUCUUCAUCGCGGAAUAGGAAGCUCCUCUUCAUCGCUCGCACGCCGCUCGUUUAUCACGGUUAAGGCAAUUUCGCGUCCAACGUCGAGCAAAACGCUCGGAACAACCUUCGUGAAGUUCGUUCCUCCAUUUUACUGUCAUUUUAUCAUCUUAUUAUUCGUUUUUAUUCGCCAGAUUCACCUCCGACGAAAUCCUGAUUCGGCUACUUUAUCGCGCGAUUGAAGCUUCGCUGCAACGUAGCUUGAGCAAGUUUGAUUAGUCUCGUUGAUGUAAUUGUAUCACGUAGAGAAAAACUGUAGUGUAAUUUGGUCGAAUGGUAGCUACCGAUCGAUGGUUUUAUGGACUUCUGUUUCAAAUGAACACGACAUUGUGUUUCACCUAUCGAGAAAGUUUGGACAGCCUUGCUGGAGUAAUUGUAUCGUACCAUCUCUUAAAACGAGUCGUAUCACUGUUAGGAAAUUCUGGCUGAAUAUUUUAAUCCUAUUGUUCUGACCAGGUAUCCGAAAUGAAUAUUACAUUUCGCUAGAUAUUAUUACGAUAUGAGCAGCUUGCAAAUAUAGGAUUUUGCGAUGCCACUCGUUACACGAAUAAAGUAGCAGACCUAAGAAAAGGACAUCGGAGGGGAGCGAAGAGACGAGGAGAAGAGCAGAGUUAAAUCGAGCGAAGGCAAACGUGGCAAAGAGCGUAAUAUAAAUCGUCAGCUUGGAAGUGACUGAGAGAAACGGGAAAACUAUACCCAGCGAUCGCUUGUAAUCAAUUCUUCGUGAAAAUAGAAGCCAGAUGAGCACCUAACGAUCGCCGAUUCUCCGUAAAACCGAGCCACAUUCUUCGCCAAUUACGAAACAUAACGGCGAGGGUUGUAAUUAGGAAACAUCGCCAGGCCGAGCUACGAGCACCAGGCACCCGACGUCUAAAAUUUCCCGGAAACUUUCAACCCGUCUGACGUAAACGUGUCUGUAGUGGCUCGUUUGUCACGACGUUACGAAG